UCUCUCUCUAAUAAAUAAAUAAAAUCUUUUAAAAAGAUUUUUAUUCAAAUAUCCAACUUUUCAUGAAAAAUCGGAAGAUACGGCAAAGCUUGGCCCAUAUUCUGACAUUCCCACAUGACACAUCUGGAGCUAAGUGGCAAUGCCUCCUUUAGAUGCUGCUUCCUUUCUCCAAUUCAAUCCAGUAAUCACCACUUUCUGUUUUCUCUCUAACACACAAACCAAGUGUGAACUGCCAUUUAUCAUUUAUUCUUGCACUGCUGAUAUUCUUGGAACACAGAAAUAUGUCUUUGCAUUUAUGCCUACAUCAAAGGUGGAAAAAUGAAACAGAUUUUGCAAAAAUGAGAUGAGUAUAUUCUUUGUUAGGAGCAAAAAAUAUAUCCUUACAGGUUUAAUAUAAAGCAUAUUUUAAGCUGAAAGCAUUCAACUUAAGACAUCAUUAUAAAACAAACCACUAUAAGAACUAUAAGGAAGGGAUCCCUGGGUGGCUCAGCAGUUUAGUGCCUGCCUUUGGCCCAAGGCAUGGUUCUGGAGUCCCAGGAUCGAGUCCCACAUUGGGCUCCCUGCAUGGGGCCUGCUUCUCCCUCUGCCUGUGUCUCUGCCUCUCUCUCUCUCUCUGUGUGUGUCUCCCAUGAAUAAAUAAAUAAAUAAUAUUUUUUAAAAAAAAGAACUACAAGGAAAAAAACAAGUAUGAUGACAUAAAAAUGAAUAAUAAUAAAAGGAACUGAGAUGCCAGGGUUGUUUGGGAAUGUAAUAUGCUAUGAAAUGCAUUUACAAAACUGGCUGUCUUCACUCAUGUACCUCAUCAUACAGCUCCCUACACCCUAACCUCCUACCUUUAUCCCCGAUCUACCCCACUCGCUUUUGAGUUUGCAACUUCUGCUCUAAAAAAAAAAUCUAUAAAAAGAAGUGAUACCCAACUGCCUAUUAACUCACAUGGACCAAACACACCUCUCAUCUAAGAAUACCAUAACAAAAUGGUAUUUUUCUGGUUAAUAACGAUUGUAAAUCAUGAAGAACAGAUAUGUGUAUACUUUGAGAUGCAUAGGAAAACUCGGUGACUUAAUGGUGAAACAAAAUUUGAGACAUUAUACAACUAGAUAUUUCAUAUAGAUUGAUGGUAAGUUUUAUCUCCUGUCCUAGACCAGUACAGAGCUAUAUGGAAAUAAGAACUGGCAUAUGCUUCAAGCUUGAUAUGCAGUAUUUCAGACUUGAUAUAGAAUAUAGACAAAGGCUAGUUGAUAUGGCAGGAACACAUUUCUGAAAUUUGGGCUAAUGGUAGUUAAAUAAAUCCUGUAAGCACUGAUUAGGCAAUACGGAGGAGGAAGAGUCAGUGGCAGUGUAGGCAGCCUGGAAGAAAGUCAGAAAAUAUUUUGAGUAGAUCAGCAUGUAGUCACACACAGCAUUGUGAUGCCAGCAGGUCAUGCUCAGGACAGUCUGCCCUGGAAUCAACUGUGAGCAGGGUUGCUGAAAUCCUGGCAGGCCCAGGGAGUGCUGUAAUCAAAGGCAAUCCUUCUCUGAAGAGGGAGAGAACAGGUGGUCUGGAGCAAAGUUCAAGUAGGUAGAGCACUAACUCAGUCUAACAUCAUUCAGAUAAAGAAAAGAGUGAAGAUGAUGGGCAGUAUUAAUUUAGGGUUUUUUUUUUCCUGUUAGAUGUAAUGAAGACAUAAGACAUAGAGGCUUAAGGAAACACUUCACCUAACAAUAAAAUCAUUAAAAGUUCACUUUGGUGUUAGGAGUAUUACUUCAUAAUUAUAGGACUUGUUUGUUGCAAGUUUUCAAAUUGAGUUCUGCUAUUCUUGGAAAUCCAACAACCUCAUCAUGUAAAGCCUGAUGUCACAGAAGUUGCUAGAGUAGUCUGACAAAACCAGGACAGUUCUGGUUAAUUCUUGUGGCAUAAUAAAGUACCCCCAAAUUUAGCAGCUCAAAACAAUCAUUUAUUUGUUUACAGUGUUAGGUGUCAGCAAUGCAAGAAGGGUUCAAUUGAGUAGUUCUCCUUAGAGACCCUCAGACAGUUGCAGUCCAGAUACUGGCUGGCCUCUACAAUAAUUUGAAAGCCAGCUGGAUGGGAUGUCCAAGACAACCAAUAGUUCCUUCAGGCUACCAGCUGAGAGCACCUACAUCCCGUCUCUCAGUGUGGCUGGCUCUUCUCACUGCAGACCCACCGGUUUUAAAGAGGCAGUAUCUAAAGAGGAAGAGUCUGAAGAGUGCAGAGAGCAAGCAUUCCCAGAGACCAAGGAAGAAGCUGCAAGACUACUGACUUGACCUUAAAAGUCAUUCAGCUUUUAAGUCAUGGGCACUGAACUCUGUUGGUUGAGGAAAUCACUAAGACUAGCCUCGAUUCAAUGUAUCCCAUUAGUCUACAAAAGGAGUAUCAAAGAAUUUGCUACCAUCUUUAAUCCACCAUAAAUGCCUUUCCAUAAAUUUUCCAUAAUUGCUUUUUCUACCUACCUUAUGUUACUCAUUCACAUCUAAGUUUGGAAAUUCAAAUCCUUUACUCUAAAGUCAAGCCUGCAGGUACGGAAAGCAUGUUCUCUAUGUUUCAUUUGUUUCUAACAUUCAAUUUACUGCUUUUACAGUACCAAAACUUUGAGAAGCAACAUUUCUCGUGCACAGUUUGUGACAGGAAUGUUAUUUUUGAGUUAAAUUUAAUGUAUAGAAUUUCAGCUAAUCUCCCUUGAAGAAAUAAUACAAAACAAAGUUUCUUAAGCUUGAGAAUCAGGAAAGACAGGCAGUAGACUUGUCUUUGUUACAUGCUGUUCUAGUACACUUGGUGUUAUGUAGUCUGUUCCUAGUUAAUCUCAAAUUACCUUUAUACAAUAAAGGCUUAUAAUAUCACUUUUAAUCAAAUUCUUUGUCUUUUGUUCCCAUGUAAAAAGAUGUUUCUGAUCUCUAAAACUCUCAAAGAGUAAAAGGAUGUUCUUAUUUUUCCCAUAAUGACGAAAUUGCUGUAUCUUCUUUCCUCAUGGCUAACAAAGCACUUAGAAUCCACACCCCAAAUCAGAUGCCUUAUUGAAAGGAAUUAGAGCUUAACAUGGAAAUGGAGGCUUCCUUUCAAACUUGCCUUGGGGCCCAGAUCCUAGACUGUGAAACUUAAAAAUGUUCUUCAUCAUGUAUGAUCUGGUUCUGUUUCUUCAUCCCUUUUUGUUGACAGACUUGGGGUAGUAGAAGUUUUUUUUUUUUUUUUUUUUUUUAGAAUCAGUCAGUGGUUGUUUCUCCUUUAGUUUCUUCAAUAUAAUUUCUUUUCUUCUAUGAUACUGUCAUAUUCCUUCUCCCCCUCCUCUUUCUCUUCUGCAUUUCCUUCUCUAUAUGCUUCUCAAAUUUCUUUUCCCUUUUUUUUUAAACAUUCUGUGCCCUUGAAUUUGAUUUAUAUUAAAGGGAAAUGAAGAAAAUCAAUAAAAGGGGAAAAACUAAACAUGAAGCUUUGUAUAACUUUCACUGCAAGGAUUUGUGGAAUCGAAUCUAUGGCUCUUCACUAAACGUCCCUAAAUUAGAAGAGUUUCGAGUUAGUAGUAGACAGUCAUUUAAAUUCAACUAAAAAAAAAAAAAA
rnacentral:lncRNA from 1 species